rnacentral:rRNA from 1 species
UAACGGCGCACCAAGGCUACGAUCAGUAACUGGUCUGAGAGGAUGAUCAGUCACACUGGAACUGAGACACGGUCCAGACUCCUACGGGAGGCAGCAGUGAGGAAUAUUGGGCAAUGCACGAAAGUGUGACCCAGCAACGCCGCGUGGAGGAUGAAGGUACUCUGUAUCGUAAACUCCUGUGAGAGCAGAUGAAAGACUAAUUAUUAAUUAGGAUGACCGUAUGCUCAGAGGAAGCCCCGGCUAACUACGUGCCAGCAGCCGCGGUAAUACGUAGGGGGCAAGCGUUGUCCGGAUUCACUGGGUGUAAAGGGCGCGUAGGCGGGAUAGCAAGUCAGUGGUGAAAUCUUGCAGCUUAACUGCAAAACUGCCGUUGAUACUGCUGUUCUUGAGUGUGGAAGAGAGAGGCGGAAUUCCAGGUG